AGGCAGUGAUGAGUAAUUGAGAUAGUCAUGCACCACUCUGAUGAUUUCUUCUAAUCUGUGCUGAUCAAUUUCUCAUACCCAUAUUUCUCUGAGCCU